UCGGGAUUUCAGCCUCCCGACUCUUCACAGAUAGACGGUGUCCCGUCCAAGCGCUG
rnacentral:ncRNA from 1 species